AGUGAAAAAAACCACCAGAAACACACACGAGAACGGGCUCUCCUCUCCCUCGCCUCCCGAUCCCAACCGCCAGGCGCUCGAUCUGGUGCCGCGCCGGCCAUCCGGGCGCGGCGUCGAUGGAUCUGGUGGCGGGUGCAGCGUCUUGCUCCGGUGGCGACGGUGUCCUGCUGAUGCUAAGAGACCAGGGCAUGAGGGAGAUAGGAAGAAAUGAGGAUAAGGGGCACAAGGUGAGGGAGGCGGUCGCCGCCGGCGGCGGCUCCGGUGACCGGCCGGAGGGCAGGGAGAGGAGCUCCUGUUGAGGCGGCGGGGCUUGGUGGAUGCUGGUUCCUCCGGAUCGACCCCCUACUCAGAUCUGCACACCCCUGAUGAUUGGAGGUGUGCUUUUCACAUGUUCGUUGAGUUGCUUAAUGACAUAAAAAAAUGAAAUCUGGAGUUAUGCAAUUGCAGCAACAAGGACGGAUGGCCAUCUUCACAGGUUAUGCCCCUUACUGUAGUUUGCAUUCAGUCAUGUGCAGUAAUAAUGGCAUAUUUGUUAGCCUGCUAGCUGUUUCCAGAUUUUUUUAGACAUGAUUGACUGCUUCUACACAAAAGGAGUUUGUCGAAAAUAAGAGCAAUCCCACUGUUGCUACAGAGCCUGAAGAUUCUUUGCCUUUCUUUGAACUGUUUCAGUUUUUUCUUUCAUAUGGCUACAAUUAUUUGAUUGGUCCAUGUAGAUUUAGGCAACAUGAGAUGAGCCGAUGAUAUAUAUUGUAAUGUAUGAUGUCUAUUGCUACAAGUGUUGAUGUCUUGGUGAUGGCAGGUUUUGCAAGUAAUUGAAAUGCUUUUUGAGUAGACGAUAAUUAGAUAAAGUUCUACCUGAUCUUGAGGUAAUGAUUAUUGAUAGCUAAUGACAUGAGGGAGAGGGGGACAAGCCCCUUUAGCUACUGCAAUACGGUUGUGCAUACAAAUGUGCUACUCAUAUUCCACUGUUAGACGAGCUAGCCGCGAGAAGCAGGUUGUAAGGGGAGCCAGAGAGGUGAGGGAGGUGACCAAAGCGGCAGCAGCCUUGGGGUGCCGAAGAAGAGUGCGCGGGAGGAUGGAAAGGGGCUCGUAUACGACGGCUGGAAGAGUGGUUGUGCAGAAGGAAGAUGUUGGUUGAAUGAGUCCCUUGGAGCCUAGCGGUGCUGCUCAGCCCUGUACAUGCCAUUGCCCGCCUCUGUGAGUAACUGGGAUCCUCACGCUACCUUUGGUCAUCCCUGGGAAACAUCAAGCAGAUCAUGAGACUGCAUCUUGAGAAGAAGCAUUAUUUACAACUCAGUAUUAUGUCAUGCAUGGAAGAAGCACUCGACCUUAUUACUAACUACUUCCUCUGUACACAAAUAUAUGACGUCUUAGACUGAACAUACAAGUCUCUAAAACGACUUAUAUUUAUGUACAGAGAGAGUAAUAACAUGUAAACAGGUGUGUUGCGUUCCUAUUCUGAUCGUGGAUUUCAAGCAUACUGCUAACAAAUGUUGGAGAGCGUGGCAAGUUUCAUCUAAUUCAAUACUGAAUUUCUGGCCUUCA